UAUGUCACAGAGGAGAAAGGAAGGACCUUCUAAACAUGUUUAACCUGAUCUCCGUGCUCUGUUUGCUUCAUCUGCCAGUGAAUAAUGGUGUUUCUAACUCCCCUAAAGUCUUCCAAACACCGCCUAGCAUAUUUAAAAAAGCUGGUGAAUCUAUAGUCAGUGAGAUUCACUGCUCACACAGCAUAACACACUUUGAUCGGACUCUCUGGUACCAACAGGACGAACACGGAGGCCUGAUGUUCUUGGGGUAUCUGAAUAUGAAGUUUCCAUUUUCAGAUGACAAGGUGAAGGAAAGGAUCAGCUUUACCGGCGACGGCAGCAACAAUUCAAGCCUGACUGUUUCCAACGUCACUCGAGACGACGGCGGUGCUGUGUAUUUCUGUGCCGCCAUUCGACACAGUGCUGCAGACUCUCCUGGAGUCAGUACAAAAAGUGCCUUUGAUCUGUCUGCAGAGAGAUAA